CUUGCGACCAUGUUACCUUGAAACAGCGGUUCCCGUAUGAUCACCGAUGUUAAGCAGCGUAGAGUACCAAGAUGGGUGACCACUUGGGAAUACCAGGUUCUGUAA